rnacentral:ncRNA from 1 species
AAGAGUCGUGUGAGAUAAAAGUCUCAUGUACGGUUUUGAAGGAGAAAAGAAGAGAUAAAUUCCCUUUUUUAUUCUGAC